GAGUUUGAUCCUGGCUCAGAAUCAUCGCUGGCGGCGUGCCUCAGACAUGCAAGUCGAACGAUUAAACUUUCCUUCGGGAAAGAUAUAAAGUGGCGCACGGGUGAGUAACACGUAGGUAAUGUACCUUUGGGUGGGGAAUAACUUAGGGAAACUUAAGCUAAUACCGCAUAAUGCAGCGGCUCCUUCGGGAGACAGUUGUUAAAGAUUUAUCGCCUAAAGAGCAGCCUGCGGCAGAUUAGCUAGUUGGUAAGGUAACGGCUUACCAAGGCUACGAUCUGUAUCCGACCUGAGAGGGUGGUCGGACACACUGACACUGAAUAACGGGUCAGACUCCUACGGGAGGCAGCAGUCGGGAAUUUUGGGCAAUGGGCGAAAGCCUGACCCAGCAGCGCCGCGUGAAGGAUGAAGUCUCUCGGGAUGUAAACUUCGUAAGAAUAGGAAGAAUAAAUGGCGGUACUAUUUGUAAGGUCCGGCUAACUACGUGCCAGCAGCCGCGGUAAUACGUAGGGACCAAGCGUUGUUCGGAUUUACUGGGCGUAAAGGGCGCGUAGGCGGCAAUUCAAGUCAGUUGUGAAAUCUCCGAGCUUAACUCGGAACGGUCAACUGAUACUGCUUUGCUAGAGUACAGAAGGGGCAAUCGGAAUUCUUGGUGUAGCGGUGAAAUGCGUAGAUAUCAAGAGGAACACCUGAGGUGAAGACGGGUUGCUGGGCUGAUACUGACGCUGAGGCGCGAAAGCUAGGGUAGCAAACGGGAUUAGAUACCCCGGUAGUCCUAGCCCUAAACGAUGAAUACUUGGUGUCUGGAGUUUUAUUCUCCGGGUGCCGUCGCUAACGUUUUUAGUAUUCCGCCUGGGGAGUACGCACGCAAGUGUGAAACUCAAAGGAAUUGACGG
rnacentral:rRNA from 1 species